rnacentral:rRNA from 1 species
UGUGCCAAGCAGCCGCGGUAAUUCCAGCUCCAAUAGCGUAUAUUAAAGUUGUUGCGGUAAAAAAGCUCGUAGUUGGAUUUCUGUUGAGGACGAGAGGUCCGUACCAUGUACGCGCAUCUUCUUCGGCCUCGGCGUCCUCUCGAUAAACGUUUCUGCGCUUGAUUGCGUGGAGCGGUUUUCGGGACUUUUACUUUGAGGAAAUUAGAGUGUUCACGGCAGGCUAUCGCCAGAAUACAUUAGCAUGGAAUAAUACUAUAGGAUCUCGGUUCUAUUUUGUUGGUUUCUAGACCCGGGGUAAUGAUUAAUAGGGACAAUUGGGGGCAUUUGUAUCAACACGUCAGAGGUGGAAUUCUUGGAUUGUGUUGCGACAAACUACUGCGAAAGCAUUUGCCAAGGAUGUUUUCAUUGAUCAAGAACGAAAGUAAGGGGAUCGAAGACGAUUAGAUACCGUCGUAGUCUUUACCAUAAACUAUGCCGACUAGAGAUGGGGCAUCGUUCACUUACGACUUGCUCCCGCAUCUUAUGAGAUAUCAAAGUCUUUGGGUUCCGGGGGGAGUAUGGUCGCAAGUCUGAAACUUAAAGGAAUUGACGGAAGGGCACCACCAGGAGUGGAGCCUGCGGCUUAAUUUGACUCAACACGGGGAAACUCACCAGGUCCAGACAUAAUAAGGAUUGACAGAUUGAUAGCUCUUUCUUGAUUUUAUGGGUGGUGGUGCAUGGCCGUUCUUAGUUCGUGGAGUGAUUUGUCUGCUUAAUUGCGUUAACGAACGAGACCUUAACCUGCUAAAUAGGAGCGCAUAUCUUCGGAUAAGCGCCUUUCUUCUUAGAGGGACUGCAUGCGUUUCAGUAUGCGGAAGUUUGAGGCUAAAACAGGUCUGUGAUGCCC